UCUGGGCAGUAGUAGGUCUGAUUGGAGCCAUUGUAUAGUGUCAGGAACAUACCAGGACACAGAGAAUAGUGUGCUAAGGAUUCAGAGAAGGUGGACCCUGCUGUGAUGCACAAAAAGGACCAUGCAAGAUAUGAUAAAGAUCUAUGUCACUGAAAUUUGGUUCUAUAUUUGUACCUCAGCUUCCUAGAAAUAAAAGAGAAUUCUAACAUUCAUACUUUGAGUAAAUUUUAUGUGAGAGGUUUUGUUGUCAAGAUCAAGUCUGAGAGCAGUCUUUAUUCGGGCCUUUAAUUGAGUUACCAAGUGAUAAAGGGGACAUUGUCUUCAACAAUAACCCUACAAUAAACAUGUUUUGUACAAUAAAUAUAUGACAAUUUCUUAAAAGCAAUUUCUUUGGCAAUCAAGACAAUAUGGCUUGUGUAUGGAGUUAUAUGAUGGUCUGGAUUAAUCCAGUAUUAAAUCUCUGGUUAUUACAGAAA